rfam:Gossypium arboreum cultivar AKA8401 contig_39188_1, whole genome shotgun sequence.
AACCUAUUAUGUGCGCAUCUCUGUAUUACCAUUUUAAAAUGCUCCCAAGCUUCGUGAAAGCUCUCUCUUUCUAACUGUUUAAAUUUUGUGAUAUCUCUUCUCAGUU